UCGGGAAUUUUGGGCAAUGGGCGAAAGCCUGACCCAGCAACGCCGCGUGAAGGAUGAAGUAUUUCGGUAUGUAAACUUCGAAAGAAUAGGAAGAAUAAAUGACGGUACUAUUUAUAAGGUCCGGCUAACUACGUGCCAGCAGCCGCGGUAAUACGUAGGGACCAAGCGUUGUUCGGAUUUACUGGGCGUAAAGGGCGCGUAGGCGGCAAUUCAAGUCAUCUGUGAAAUCUCCGGGCUUAACUCGGAACGGUCAGAUGAUACUGCUUUGCUAGAGUGCAGAGGGGGCAAUCGGAAUUCUUGGUGUAGCGGUGAAAUGCGUAGAUAUCAAGAGGAACACCUGAGGUGAAGACGGGUUGCUGGGCUGACACUGACGCUGAGGCGCGAAAGCCAGGGGAGCAAACGGGAUUAGAUACCCAUGUAGUCCCUGAGCGGGCUGGCAAGGCGCAU
rnacentral:rRNA from 1 species